rnacentral:rRNA from 1 species
UAGAGUUUGAUCAUGGGCUCAGGGAUGAACGCUAGCGGCAGGCCUAAUACAUGCAAAGUCGAGGGGAGAAAUUUUUGUGCUUGCACUUAAAUGAAACCGGCGAACGGGUGCGUAACACGUAUGCAACUUACCUAUAACUAGGGGAUAGCCCGAAGAAAUUCGGAUUAAUAUCCUAUAAUAUUUACAUAUCGCAUGGUAUGUUUCUUAAAACUCCGGUGGUUAUAGAUGGGCAUGCGGCUUAUUAGUUAGUUGGUGAGGUAAUGGCUCACCAAGACUACGAUAAGUAGGGGGUCUGAGAGGAUGAUCCCCCACACUGGUACUGAGACACGGACCAGACUCCUACGGGAGGCAGCAGUAGGGAAUAUUGGACAAUGGACGAAAGUCUGAUUCAGCCAUGCCGCGUGCAGGAUGACGGCCCUAUGGGUUGUAAACUGCUUUUAUAUAGGAAGAAACCUUUCCACGUGGGAAAGCUGACGGUACUAUACGAAUAAGGACCGGCUAACUCCGUGCCAGCCGCCGCGGUAAUUCA